rnacentral:RNase_P_RNA from 1 species
AAUCGUGUUAGAGUUAUCUCUAACGAGGAAAGUCCGGGCUUUACAGGGUAGGAUGCUGGGUAAUCCCCAGUGGAGGAGACUCCCAGGAAAGUGCCACAGAAAAUAUACCGCCAUCUUAUGGUAAGGGUGAAAAGGUGAGGUAAAAGCUCACCAAUAUUCAGGUAACUGGAUAGUUUGGUAAACCCCGUCCAAAGUAAGUCCAAAUAGGGAGAAGAUAAGGUGACCCGCUUUUUCUCCGGGUUGGACGCUUGAGGUAACAAGUAAUUGUUACCCUAGAUAGAUGAUUAUCUGAUACAGAACCCGGCUUACAGUGCUGCUCU